AGCUCCACAAGAAACCACCAAUCACCUUCAUUGCACCUAUUCUAAAGGUGUUUAGGUGCAUUGCUUGGAGAACUUGGGCCAGACACAAAUUUGAUUGUGGACAAGUUGGAGACGCAAGAGGAUCUACUCCUCGUUUCCUAGAGAACAUGAUAAAAUACUAUUUGCAUGUUGCUCACAAAUUUGAAAGGAACUCUUAGAUGUUUCUAAAAAGGAAACCCAAUCGACUAUGUACAUUCCA
rnacentral:lncRNA from 1 species